AAUCCCAUGUUGGCAUAUCCUAUAUAUCCCCAAAGAUUCACCAUCUCUUUGUUUUCCUGCCCAGCAACCAGAGACAGAGGAGUACCUCAGGCUCGAAACCCUGCUCUCUGCCUGAACCUCCUCUACCCACCUCAUCCUCCUCUCAACCACAACCAUCUGCCAUCUCCAGUGUACAACAUGUUUAGUGGCAUCAACAGUUGUGAAAACUUUAACUCAACGCAGCAAAGAGGUGAAAACUGUCAAUCUGACCAAGGUUUCAGACAAAACCCUCCUGGCUGGUAAAAUCAACGGUGACCAAGGGCUCCUGACAGAAAUGAAGUCAACGAUUCGUUUGAAACAAUCAGAGCUUGUAUCAACACAAGCAAAUAAGAUGGUAGCGGAAGAGAGGACUGUUGAUCUCACUAAGGUUCAGCUGGGUGGAAAAAAGAUCCUUUGUGAAAUGAAAUCCUCACCAGCUGCAGUAGUUAGUUCUU